rnacentral:rRNA from 1 species
UACGUAGGGCGCAAGCGUUAUCCGGAAUUAUUGGGCGUAAAGAGCUCGUAGGCGGUUUGUCGCGUCUGCCGUGAAAGUCCGGGGCUCAACUCCGGAUCUGCGGUGGGUACGGGGCAGACUAGAGUGAUGUAGGGGGAGACUGGAAUUCCUGGUGUAGCGGUGAAAUGCGCAGAUAUCAGGAGGAACACCGGUGGCGAAGGCGGGUCUCUGGGCAGUAACUGACGCUGAGGAGCGAAAGCGUGGGGGAGCGAACAGG